GACGAACGCUCGCGGCGUGCUUAACACAUGCAAGUCGAACGGAAAGGCCCUGCUUUUGUGGGGUGCUCGAGUGGCGAACGGGUGAGUAACACGUGAGUAACCUGCCCUUGACUUUGGGAUAACUUCAGGAAACUGGGGCUAAUACCGGAUAGGAGCUCCUGCUGCAUGGUGGGGGUUGGAAAGUUUCGGCGGUUGGGGAUGGACUCGCGGCUUAUCAGCUUGUUGGUGGGGUAGUGGCUUACCAAGGCUUUGACGGGUAGCCGGCCUGAGAGGGUGACCGGCCACAUUGGGACUGAGAUACGGCCCAGACUCCUACGGGAGGCAGCGGUGGGGAGUAUUGCACAAUGGGCGGAAGCCAGAUGCAACAACGCCGCGUGCGGGAUGACGGCCUUCGGGUUGUAAACCGAUUUCGCCUGUGACGAAGCGUGAGUGACGGUAAUGGGUAAAGAAGCACCGGCUAACUACGUG
rnacentral:rRNA from 1 species